rnacentral:lncRNA from 1 species
UGAUCUCUUUUUUUCCUCAUGACUUUGGGAGGUGAGUGCUAUAAUGAAUUACCUUUAUUUUACAGGUGAGGAAACCAAGGCAGAGGUUGUGACUUCCCCAGUAAAUGCUGCUCCUUGGCCUCUGUCUUUUCUUAUCAAGGCUGAAACUGCUCUGAUUUCAUUUAUUUUUUGGAAGAAGAGGAAUGGCCUUCUUAUUUCCUUUACUUUGUGGUAUGAUAUACUUUGUUAUUAUACAUUUUCUCCUUUACAAAUUAUACUACCCACUCAAAUUUUGCUAUUCUUUACUUUAUUUCCUUUGCAUAGGCUAUUCUCCAUAAACUGAAAUAUACUCCCCCCUCACAUUUGCCUAGUUUUCAUUACAUACAGCAACAGAAAUAUUGUUUGAAAGAUGACUUGUAUAUGUCUAUCUCUAGAAAGAGAA